rnacentral:rRNA from 1 species
AGUCGACGGACUCAUAUUGAAACCUAGUGAAGUAUGAGUUAGUGGCGGACGGGUGAGUAACGCGUGGAAAACCUGCCGUAUACUGGGGGAUAACACUUAGAAAUAGGUGCUAAUACCGCAUAAGCGCACAGCUUCGCAUGAAGCAGUGUGAAAAACUGAGGUGGUAUACGAUGGUUCCGCGUCUGAUUAGCUAGUUGGUGGGGUAAAAGCCUACCAAGGCAACGAUCAGUAGCCGGCCUGAGAGGGUGAACGGCCACAUUGGGACUGAGACACGGCCCAAACUCCUACGGGAGGCAGCAGUGGGGAAUAUUGCACAAUGGGGGAAACCCUGAUGCAGCGACGCCGCGUGAGUGAAGAAGUAUUUCGGUAUGUAAAGCUCUAUCAGCAGGGAAGAAAUACUGACCAUAGGGUCAGCAGACGGUACUUGACUAAGAAGCCCCGGCUAACUACGUGCCAGCAGCCGCGGUAAUACGUAGGGGGCAAGCGUUAUCCGGAUUUACUGGGUGUAAAGGGAGCGUAGACGGCAGCGCAAGUCUGAAGUGAAAUGCCAGGGCUUAACCCUGGAACUGCUUUGGAAACUGUGCAGCUAGAGUGCAGGAGAGGUAAGUGGAAUUUCUAGUGUAGCGGUGAAAUGCGUAGAUAUUAGGAGGAACACCAGUGGCGAAGGCGGCUUACUGGACUGUAACUGACGUUGAGGCUCGAAAGCGUGGGGAGCAAACAGGAUUAGAUACCCUGGUAGUCCACGCUGUAAACGAUGAUUACUAGGUGUUGGGGGACCAAGGUUCUUCGGUGCCGUCGCAAACGCAAUAAGUAAU